rnacentral:rRNA from 1 species
CAGGCCUAACACAUGCAAGUCGAGCGCGCCCUUCGGGGUGAGCGGCGGACGGGUUAGUAACGCGUGGGAACGUGCCCAGAUCUAAGGAAUAGCCACUGGAAACGGUGAGUAAUACCUUAUACGCCCUUCGGGGGAAAGAUUUAUCGGAUUUGGAUCGGCCCGCGUUAGAUUAGGUAGUUGGUGGGGUAACGGCCUACCAAGCCUACGAUCUAUAGCUGGUUUUAGAGGAUGAUCAGCAACACUGGGACUGAGACACGGCCCAGACUCCUACGGGAGGCAGCAGUGGGGAAUCUUGGACAAUGGGGGCAACCCUGAUCCAGCCAUGCCGCGUGAGUGAUGAAGGCCUUAGGGUCGUAAAGCUCUUUCGCCAGGGAUGAUAAUGACAGUACCUGGUAAAGAAACCCCGGCUAACUCCGUGCCAGCAGCCGCGGUAAUACGGAGGGGGUUAGCGUUGUUCGGAAUUACUGGGCGUAAAGCGCGCGUAGGCGGACCAGAAAGUUGGGGGUGAAAUCCCGGGGCUCAACCCCGGAACUGCCUCCAAAACUCCUGGUCUUGAGUUCGAGAGAGGUGAGUGGAAUUCCGAGUGUAGAGGUGAAAUUCGUAGAUAUUCGGAGGAACACCAGUGGCGAAGGCGGCUCACUGGCUCGAUACUGACGCUGAGGUGCGAAAGUGUGGGGAGCAAACAGGAUUAGAUACCCUGGUAGUCCACACCGUAAACGAUGAAUGCC